AAGCUUGCUCCUUUGAAGUUAGCGGCGGACGGGUGAGUAACGCGUGGGUAAC
rnacentral:rRNA from 1 species